rnacentral:rRNA from 1 species
GGAUGCGAUAAUACCAGCACUAAAGCACCGGAUCCCAUCAGAACUCCGAAGUUAAGCGUGCUUGGGCGAGGAUGGGUGACCUCCUGGGAAGUCCUCGUGUUGCGUUCC